rnacentral:tRNA from 1 species
GGGGUCGUCGGCUAGCUUGGUCUAGGCUCCGAGCUUCGGGCGCUCGGGACGGGAGUUCAAAUCUCCCCGACCCCACCA